GGCUGACUGUUACUCCAUGUCCCCUAGUUUAUUGCAUGAUGGCAGUUUAGUGACAACUUCCAUCAAAGACAGUCUGGGAUAUGAAUCAGGCCCAGGAGCAAGAGGUUGUAGUGGAUUUUUGUGUUGGAACAACUCCAGCCGUCGAAGGGUAAAGGUAAAAGGUACCCCAGUGCGGAAAGUGGGGCGCUUUUCAAUGUUUGGUGAGUGUGGUAAGUCAAAGAGAAAGAGUUGAGAAUCUGACCCUGGGCACGUUAUUCAGAUCUAGUUUUGCCUAUAUACUUCCUUUUUUUCUUCAAAAAGUUUUGUGUAGGUUUAUUUUUCCCCUUCCAUUUGAGCGAUUCUUCAAGGAUGUGAGUGAAAAAAUGUAGAGGUUAUUUAUGUUCAUCUUGUGUUCCUUUUGCUCCAUCCCUUAUUUAAGAAAUCAAUAAAGCGGGACAAAGAAUGAACACCUUUAUUUCCCUUUCCCCAAUUUCGUUAUUUUCAGUAUUCUGUGAGAAA